rnacentral:rRNA from 1 species
UCCAGACUCCUACGGGAGGCAGCAGUGGGGAAUAUUGCACAAUGGGGGAAACCCUGUUGCAGCGACGCCGCGUGAGCGAAGAAGUAUUUCGGUAUGUAAAGCUCUAUCAGCAGGGAAGAAAAAAGACGGUACCUGACUAAGAAGCCCCGGCUAACUACGUGCCAGCAGCCGCGGUAAUACGUAGGGGGCAAGCGUUAUCCGGAUUUACUGGGUGUAAAGGGAGCGUAGACGGCUGUGCAAGUCUGAAGUGAAAGCCCAGGGCUCAACCCUGGGACUGCUUUGGAAACUGUGGAGCUAGAGUGCUGGAGAGGUAAGUGGAAUUCCUAGUGUAGCGGUGAAAUGCGUAGAUAUUAGGAGGAACACCGGCGGCGAAGGCGGCCUGCUGGACCGAAACUGACGUUGAGGCUCGAAAGCGUGGGGAGCGAACAGGAUUAGAUACCCUAGUAA